UGCAGAUCUGGUUGAUUCUGCCAGAGGUUACUGCUAUCGAGAUUCGACUAAGCCAUGCGAGUUGAAUGUUCUUCGUGAACAUGGCGGACUGCUCAGUAACACGUGGACAACCUACCCUUGGGUCCGGCAUAAUCCUGGGAAACUGGGAAUAAUUCCGGAUAGGUCACCGAUGCUGGAAUGCGCGGUGGCCGAAAGCUCCGGCGCCCGAGGAUGGGUCUGCGGCCUAUCAGGGUUGUAGUGGGUGUAACGUACCUACUAGCCUACGACGGGUACGGGUUGUGAGAGCAAGAGCCCGGAGAUGGAUUCUGAGACACGAAUCCAGGCCCUACGGGGUGCAGCAGGCGCGAAAACUUUACAAUGCGGGAAACCGUGAUAAGGGGAUCUCGAGUGCCAGCAUAUAAUGUUGGCUGUCCAGAUGCCUAAAAAGCAUCUGUUAGCAAGGGCCGGGCAAGACCGGUGCCAGCCGCCGCGGUAACACCGGCGGCCCGAGUGGUAACCGCUAUUAUUGGGUCUAAAGGGUCUGUAGCCGGCCAGGUAAGUCCCUUGGGAAAUCUGGCAGCUCAACUGUCAGGCUGCUAGGGGAUACUGUUUGGCUUGGGACCGGGAGAGGUGAGAGGUACCUUGGGGGUAGGGGUGAAAUCUUGUGAUCCUCGAGGGACCACCAGUGGCGAAGGCGUCUCACCAGAACGGGUCCGACGGUAAGGGACGAAAGCUAGGGGCACGAACCGGAUUAGAUAUCCGGGUAGUCCUAGCCGUAAACGAUGCUCGCUAGGUGUCAGUCACGGUGCGACCGUGAUUGGUGCCGUAGGGAA
rnacentral:rRNA from 1 species